rnacentral:tRNA from 1 species
AACUAAAAACUAAAAAUAUAUUUGACUGUUAAUCAAAAAAUGUAUAUUAUUAACUAUACUUUAGUUU